rnacentral:lncRNA from 1 species
CCCUUGUUGAUCUUGGUACAUGUAGAGUUCUUCAAUUAUUUUGUCUUGUGUUUCUUCAUCACCAAUCAUCUUUGUAAUGCAAUUAAUCACUCCAGCUCUAAAGGAUCCAUCAUGCUCAAUUUUAGACAUCUUUGGAUAAUAAAAGUAAGGAUUCAAGUAGUACCCAACUAAGUGAAGUGGAGUUUUGAGCUUGCUAUCCCACCGCUUAUCAAUAAUAUCCCAAGCAACUUUGUAGCGGCUCUCAUCAUUGUCAAACCUCUCAGAAAUUUCUUUCUUUGCCUCAAGCAUUAAUCCAUGAAAGAAUCCCAUUGCUGGUACAUCACUGUCCAGUCUCCUCAACACAUUUGCC